GAAACGAGUUUGUUUCCGAUUUGCAACGACUUUGGAGUAAUCGGAUUUAGUAACAGACGCGUUGCGCAUGCGCAGCACUGUUCCGCACACAAACGUAAAUAUUUACACACCAGCUCGACGUGCGUGCGAGUUCGUCAUUAUUAUUAAAUUUUUGGGCGUCUGACGGGUCGUGGUGAGGUGACUAAAAUGUCGACAGUCGCCAGUCGAUAAUAUCGGAUUCGACCGUUUCUGGAGCCUACUCGCGAUUAAUAUUCUAAAAUUUUUUUGUUAUCGUCAUAGAUAGGGUGAUUUUUAUCAUCUCGCGCAGCGAAUGCUCGUUGAUCGAUAAUAAUAUUUACAUUUUUUUUUUUUGGUCGCCGUAAUUAUUAAUCCGAUCCCCGCUUACCACCACCAGAAUAAUUACCGAGUGUCGACGAUGCCGAACAACCAGUUAAUGCACCCGAGGAAUAUUUACCGGAAACCGCCUGCGUUCAAGGAGCUGGCGGUAAUGUACCCGGAAUUCAACAAAUACGCGUCGGUUGGUUUGAACGGCAAAAUCGUUUUCGACUUCAAAAAUCAGGACGGCCUGAGACUGUUGACCACCAUACUGCUGAAGAAAGACUUCGACCUAGACGUGGAUUUGCCCGUCGGCCGACUGGUGCCCACCGUCCCGUUGCGACUCAACUACUUGCUGUGGAUCGAAGACCUGUUCAACUUGAACUACGACAACACGAAGAAGAUCAAAGGAAUCGACAUAGGCACAGGUUCAUCAUGUAUUUAUCCAUUAUUAGCAGCUAAACAAUUUCAGUGGUCCAUGGUCGGUACUGAUAUCAAUAAAGAAGCUAUUAAAAAUGCUAUUAAAAAUGUAGAAAAAAAUAAUUUACAACAUUUAAUUCAAGUACUGGAGGUAUCGGAAUGGGAAAGAUUAUUGCCAGUAGCUGUAGAUGAACAUUAUGACUUCUGUAUGUGUAACCCACCUUUUCAUAGUUUUUCAAAAAUAAAUUCAUCAGAUGAUGAAGCAGAUAGUGCGGUUGGGAUUACUUCUGAAAUGUAUACAAUGGGUGGAGAAGUUGAUUUUAUAAAAAAAAUGAUCAAUGAAAGUGAAAUAUUACAGAAUUCGAUAAGUAUUUAUACAACAAUGGUUGGUUAUAAAGCAUCAUUAGACCCUCUAAAAAAUGAACUGAAAGCUAUUGGAGCAUGUACAAUUGCAGAAGCUGGUUUCUAUCAAGGUCGGAAUGCUCGUUGGGGGCUUGCUUGGACAUUUCAGCCGGAUAUAAAAUUAAAGGAUUUUUUGCCUAAUAAGGAGUUUCAAAAGGAGAAGUUGAAACUUAGACCUCCGGUAUCUUUCCAAAUUCCAGAAUCGUAUGACUCUACAACUGCGCUAACCAAACUAUCAGAACUUCUAGAUAGUCUUAAGCUGUCAAUCUCAAAAUUACAAUCAAAAAUUGAUGAAAGUGUCUUAUACCAAGCUGACAUUCAAGCAUAUGAAAAUACAUGGACACAUCAAAGAAGAAAAAGGCGAAUGGAAAAAAGAUUAGCUGAUUGCAAACGUCAAAAAACAAAUGAUAGUUGUUCACUCAUUGCAUCUGAUGAUGAAAGGGUCGAUCAGAAUUUAGAGACCACAGUGAAUGCCAAACCAUUAUUUGCGGCUACACUAGUUUUAAGAAAGUCAGACAAUACAAUUUUGAUAGACAUGUUGCACUUGGACGGCAAUAGAGACAAUUCAUACCAAGUUUUUCAGUUCUUUAAGAAUAGAUUUAUAUAAUUAGGGUUUCAUGUGACACAAAUUUAGGAAAACCAAAUCCAAGGCUAUCCGGCUGCGUGCUUGGUCGUUGGAAAUUCUCCCAAGAUGGAUCAGGCACAAAACUCUCAACUAUGUUGCAUGGCUAUAAAAUGACAAAGAUCCGUUGCCGUUCAAAAACACCGAUGCUUGCAACUUGUACCCAAACUGGCUGGUGUAGAACGGCGAACUGAUGAGUUCUAGACCAUCACCGCAUAGUUUGUGACGACCCUCUUCAAGUUUUUCCAAUACAUCGCUGAUUUUCCAAAUCAACGUACCUUUAAGUAAUUAGAUUUUUAUAAGCAAUUGGUAUUUAAAUUUAAUGUACUGUUAAAAAAAAUCUUAUAUACCUGACUGAUUAACAGCUAAGUUAUUUAUAACUUUUUUCAUGGAUACAA